rnacentral:rRNA from 1 species
CCUACGGGUGGCAGCAGUGGGGAAUAUUGCACAAUGGGGGAAACCCUGAUGCAGCGACGCCGCGUGAGUGAAGAAGUAAUUCAUUACGUAAAGCUCUAUCAGCAGGGAAGAAAUACUGACCUUACGGUCAGCAGACGGUACCUGAGUAAGAAGCCCCGGCUAACUAUGUGCCCGAAACCGCGGUAAUACGUAGGGGGCAAGCGUUAUCCGGAUUUACUGGGUGUAAAGGGAGCGUAGACGGUGCGCCAAGUCUGGAGUGAAAUGCAGCGGCUUAACUGGGGAACUGCAUUGGAAACUGGCGAACUAGAGUGUAGGAGAGGUAAGCGGAAUUCGUAGUGUAGCGGGGAAAUGCGGAGAUAUUAGGAGGAACACCGAUGGCGAAGGCAGCUUACUGGACCGUAACUGACGUUGAGGCUCGAAAGCGUGGGGAGCAAACAGGAUUAGAUACCCGUGUAGUC